AUGAUCAUGCCUCACAUUGUCUUCUGCUGAGCCUCUCUUGGGUCUCAAAUUUUUUCUCAAUACAGAUAUCAGUUAUCAAAUGAAUGGCAAUAAUACCUAGAGUCUGUUUAUGAUCCCUGGUUUGGAUCAGAAGAACGAGAAUGCGGAAUGGAAUUUCAUCAGAACUCUGAGAUCACUUAGGAGCAAUAGGUUAGAAGACUAAUACUAUUAUAAUAACAGUAACGAUUAUGAUGAUCAAUGCUGUCAACUGCCUACCUCCAGAUUUUUUGUAUGAGAAAAAUUCCUUAUUGCUUAGUAGCAAUCUGUUUUUGGAUAUUUGCCAUUGAAAGCAUUCUUGAUACAGACUUGAAGCCUAAACUGAAGUCUGAAAGGUGGGUGAGAACAGACAAAAUUUUGCAGAGAGGUACAUCAUGAUCAAGAUGAGAGAGAUGAGAACUUUGGUGACAAGCAAGUGGUUGGGGAAAGAGGAAUAGGAAAAAAUGUGAUGAGAAUGUCCAGAAGGUAAUGAGUUUUAGAAAUUGUUAUGUGAACUUGAUCCUAGGGGCAGUGUAUAAAUGGGAAGUCACUGAGGGGGUUUAAAGGUCUGAAGUGUGAAAACUAACAUAUUAGAAUUGUGACUUAGAAAGAUUAUUCAGUAGCUGAAGAGAGCAUGCUUUGGAGAGGAACCAGACGAGAGGCAUGGAAAUCAGUUAAAAAAAAUGUCAUCAUGAUACAGACAUAGAAUUUACCUUCUGUAUGUUGGUGGGCUGACCAAAUCUGUGAAUAAGCAACCGGUUCCAUAGUGAUUUAUAUGGAUGAGCAAAGAUGAGUUCCAUGUGAUGAUGGUGUGCCCAUAUCAGCAAGCCUCCACCACCUUACCAAUACAGUGUAUUUACUGCUAUUCUUCUUACCACGGUUUCUGACCUGUCAACCUGAGUGCAAGAUC